rnacentral:rRNA from 1 species
UACGGAAGGCAGUAGUGGGGAAUAUUGCACAAUGGGCGAAAGCCUGAUGCAGCUAUGCCGCGUGUAUGAAGAAGGCCUUAGGGUUGUAAAGUACUUUCAUCGGGGAGGAAAAAACAAAACUAAUAAUUUUAUUUCUUGACGUUACCCGAAAAAGAAGCACCGGCUAACUCCGUGCCAGCAGCCGCGGUAAUACGGAGGGUGCUAGCGUUAAUCAGAAUUACUGGGCGUAAAGAGCACGUAGGUGGUUUUUUUAAGUCAGAUGUGAAAUCCCUGGGCUUAACCUAGGAACUGCAUUUUGAAACUGAAAUACUAGAGUAUCGUAGAGGGAGGUAGAAUUCUAGGUGUAGCGGUGAAAUGCGUAGAUAUCUGGAGGAAUACCUGUGGCGAAAGCGGCCUCCUAAACGAAUACUGACACUGAGGGUGCGAAAGCGUGGGGAGCAAACAGGGAUUAGAUACC